rnacentral:lncRNA from 1 species
UUUUUUUUUUUGGUUUUCGAAAGAUAAACGACCGAAGAAGAAUGAACAUUUUUGGAUUUUCAGUUUCUCUUUAUUUUUUGGAGCUCAAUCAAUUUUUCAAGAAUUUUGUUGAAAUUUUCGCAAGAAAAACUUAAUUUAAUUAAAUUUGUUUUUUUGACUUUUGGAUUUAAUGUCUCAAAGAAAGAAUUACAGAAAAAUAUUUUUUGACUUUUUUUUUGAAAUUGGGGCCGGACCCGAUAAUUGUUGCCUACGUAUCUCACAUCCGGUGAGAAUUAGACCCCCGUAGUUCGUAAAUAUUUCAGGAAUGAGAUGACACUUUUUGAAAAUCUUUAGGCUUAUUUUCUAAUAAUCUUUUUGGGGUAAAACUUUGACAGGGUUUUUGGAUUUUUGAAAUACCGGGAUUUUUCGAAAAUCGAGUAAAUUUUCUCUCUCCUAUUUUCUCCCUUCUAGGUUUUCCUCAAUUUUCUCCAUAUUUUUAGAAGCCGGUCAACAUGUACAAACCGAAUCAGCAAAAUGCAUAAGUAGCACAUAAGAUGCAUCAGAAUGGCCUCAUAAUUUUCAAGUACACCUGUCCUAGAUGGACCCAACCCUUGUAUUGAGUCCCCAAAGUCAAAUAUACAUGAUGCAAAUAAACGUUCCUACUAGGGAUCCGACAUUAGGCUAUGUUAUUCUAGGUUUAAAUCCUAAGGGGAGAAUUUUAGACCUGGCUUACUCAAGCAGACAGCUCGAGCCGUGCUGGGAGCAACGUACUGGGAGCACGAAAGUCUACCCGGCCUAGUUACUGAACCAACUCCAUUCUAAUUGGUACGACCUCUAACAGAAAAGUGGGCCACAUGCACGUGUGCACCAAAAAUUUAGAAGACAUAAGGGAAGCGUAAGAAGAUAGUUUAAUACAGUUCAAAUAAUAUCAAAGCGGUAAAUAAGCGAUAAUUAGCGCAUUAAGCCCACAAAUACAGUAAUAACAUCCAAUCAAUAAAGCCAAGUAUAGAUCACAUACAAGCUCGAAUUGUAAAUCUUAAACCAAAAAUUCUGGGUUUUUCUCCCCAGCAGAGUCGCCGCCGCACCUCUAUUUUUCGGGGAUAGUGGAAAGAAAAGAGUUUUUCUAAUUAAAGUGACAUUAUUUGAAAAGGGAUUGAUUUUAUUUAUUUUAAAAGUCGCAAGUUGGAAUUAUUUUACUUCUGGUGUUCCAAGUCACCGAUUUGUUUAAAAUCCCAAUUCAAGGAAGUUUGAUUCUGUUUACGGUCUGCGAAAUACAGAAGACCGGUAAGGAAUUCUGUUAACCCGGGAGAAGGUGUGAGACACUCCCGAGUUAUGUGGUUUUAGCACGGUCACUUGAAAAUUCAUACUUUGACUUGAUUAUCUCAUUUUUACAUGUUUAAAACCUAUGUACAUUUUUAUCUUUCACCGCUUUUAAAUUACUUUGUUGUUUAUAGUUAUGGAAUUAUCUUGAAACGAACCACGUAUGUAUGUAUUCACUUUGUUUGGUAUGACAAAAUCAUGUCACGCGUACGUGUACACAAUAAAUAACACUUUAUUAUUAUUAAAAUUAUUUUGCCCAAAGUUGCACGAACGCAUACCUUGGUUUUAAUUUUGGAAAUCGUAAUUAUAUCACAUGAACGUAUACAUAAUCAUGAUGAUUCAAUUAUUUUCGAGCACGCUUAAAGCAUACUAGCGAUUCACUUAAUUCCUAAAGUUAUAUGUUAUGGGAUUUAGGAAGAUAUGCUAUUUUGAUUUAUGGUUUUUGGGCUUGGACAAGAGUAAGUUCAUUUGACCCAUCAAUUCAUUUAUCAAACUGGCAUGAACUAACAAAAGUUACUAGUUUUAAAUCUAAUCCAAUUUCUGAUUUUUCAAGACAAAUAGACAUCCCAACUUCCUUAACUAAUGGGCAAUGGUCCAGAAAUGUAUUACAACUUCUUAUCCAACUAAUUAAGCCAAGUGACCAUACAGCCCAAGUAGGACCCAAGUCUUAUUAUUCGAUGUUUGGGAGCGAAGAACUGGCAGCGGCGGAGCUACGACAAGGUAUGAAAGUCGAUGGUUUUGAGCUGAUUUUUUCACGUUGGUUUAAGGUGUUUCAGGUGGUGUUUUAGGCGAUUUUCAGCUGGGUUUGGACUGGUUUUCAAAGGUGGUUCGCUGCUGACUUUUGGUGAAAAAGGGUGGUUGUUUCGUUGGAGUUUGGGGUGAGUUUCAUGGCUGUUUGGUUGCUGUAUUUUGGGGGUAGUUUCAGUUGCAUUUUUGGCUAUUAAAUUGAGUUUUAGCGAGCUGUUCUUGCUAGUUUUCACAGUGGAUUUAAGUUGUUUCCAUGGAAAAUUCAAGGUGAGUUUUAGGCUGGUAUUUAAGCUGCGUUUUCAUGGAGUUUCUGCUUGUUUUUCAUGGCUGAAACUUGGUGCUAUUUAGUUGGGAAAGACGGCUGCUUUAAUGGUAUUUUGGGUGAAGAAUAGCUACUGUUUUGUGGCUAAAAACCAGUAGCUAGUGAUUAUAGGGAGCAGAAGAAAGCUACUUAUUUUUGUGUGUGAAGCUGACAAAUUUAAUUGCGGCGCUUUUACGUGAAGAAGCAGCCGAUUUCAAGCUCUUCUUUUUAUCUACUCUUAACUCUCCUUCUCCUUUUUGUUCAUAGUUUUCUCUCUUCCCAAAAUAUUGCUUCCCCUUUCAUAUGCAAGUGUUAAUUAUAUAUAUAUAUAUNN